GAUGAAGAACGUAGCGAAAUGCGAUAAGUAAUGUGAAUUGCAGAAUUCAGUGAAUCAUCGAAUCUUUGAACGCACCUUGCACCCUUUGGCAUUCCGAAGGGUAUGCUCGUUUGAGUGUCAUUGUACUCUCACACUUCUAAUCUUUGGAUUGGGGGCGGUGGACUUGGGUGUUGCUGCUUACUGUGGCUCACCUCAAAUUGAUUCGUGCACCUCUUGGUUGGACAUAGUACGGCGUGAUAAGUGUCUUCGCCGGCACCUCAGUAGAGGGUGGCUGAUCGGGAGCUCUGUGCUUCAAACCGUCCUCGGGCAACAACUGACAACUUGACCUCAAAUCGAGUAGGACUACCCGCUGAACUUAAGCAUAUCAAUAAGCGGAGGA
rnacentral:misc_RNA from 1 species